UACGUAGGGACCAAGCGUUGUCCGGAAUCAUUGGGCGUAAAGCGCGUGUAGGCGGCCCGGUAAGUCCGCUGUGAAAGUCCAGGGCUCAACCCUGGGAUGCCGGUGGAUACUGUCGGGCUCGAGUCCGGAAGAGGCGAGUGGAAUUCCUGGUGUAGCGGUGAAAUGCGCAGAUAUCAGGAGGAACACCAAUGGCGAAGGCAGCUCGCUGGGACGUGACUGACGCUGAGACGCGAAAGCGUGGGGAGCAAACAGG
rnacentral:rRNA from 1 species